rnacentral:rRNA from 1 species
UAACCUGCGGAAGGAUCAUUACCGAGUUUUCGAGCUCCGGCUCGACUCUCCCACCCUUUGUGAACGUACCUCUGUUGCUUUGGCGGCUCCGGCCGCCAAAGGACCUUCAAACUCCAGUCAGUAAACGCAGACGUCUGAUAAACAAGUUAAUAAACUAAAACUUUCAACAACGGAUCUCUUGGUUCUGGCAUCGAUGAAGAACGCAGCGAAAUGCGAUAAGUAAUGUGAAUUGCAGAAUUCAGUGAAUCAUCGAAUCUUUGAACGCACAUUGCGCCCCUUGGUAUUCCGGGGGGCAUGCCUGUUCGAGCGUCAUUACAACCCUCAAGCUCUGCUUGGAAUUGGGCACCGUCCUCACUGCGGACGCGCCUCAAAGACCUCGGCGGUGGCUGUUCAGCCCUCAAGCGUAGUAGAAUACACCUCGCUUUGGAGCGGUUGGCGUCGCCCGCCGGACGAACCUUCUGAACUUUUCUCAAGGUUGACCUCGGAUCAGGUAGGGAUACCCGCUGAACUUAAGCAUAUCAAUA